CUCGAUGAUGAUAAUUCUCACAGACCUGUACUGAAAACUGUGAUUGCAACUAUUAAAUCUGAUG
rnacentral:snoRNA from 1 species